UACGGAAGGCAGCAGUGGGGAAUAUUGCACAAUGGGCGAAAGCCUGAUGCAGCUAUGCCGCGUGUAUGAAGAAGGCCUUAGGGUUGUAAAGUACUUUCAUCGGGGAGGAAAAACAAAACUAAUAAUUUUAUUUCUUGACGUUACCCGAAAAAGAAGCACCGGCUAACUCCGUGCCAGCAGCCGCGGUAAUACGGAGGGUGCUAGCGUUAAUCAGAAUUACUGGGCGUAAAGAGCACGUAGGUGGUUUUUUUAAGUCAGAUGUGAAAUCCCCUGGGGCUUAACCUGGAACUGCAUUUUUGAAACUGAAAUACUAGAGUAUCGUAGAGGGAGGUAGAAUUCUAGGUGUAGCGGUGAAAUGCGUAGAUAUCUGGAGGAAUACCUGUGGCGAAAGCGGCCUCCUAAACGAAUACUGACACUGAGGUGCGAAAGCGUGGGGAGCAAACAGGGAUUAGAUACC
rnacentral:rRNA from 1 species